GGAGGGGUCGCAUAAUUGGUAGUGCAGCGGUCUUGAAAACCGCCGCCCGAAAGGGCUUGCAGGUUCGAGUCCUGUCCCCUCCGCCA
rnacentral:tRNA from 1 species